rnacentral:rRNA from 1 species
GCCUAUGACCAUAUCAUCCUGAAUGCGCCCGAUCUCGUCUGAUCUCGGAAGCUAAACAUGGUCGAGCCUGAUUAGUACUUGGAUGGGAGACCGCCUGGGAAUACCAGGUGUUGUAGGCU